rnacentral:rRNA from 1 species
AUUGAACGCUGGCGGCAUGCUCUACACAUGCAAGUCGAACGGUAACAGGCCGCAAGGUGCUGACGAGUGGCGAACGGGUGAGUAAUGCAUCGGAACGUGCCCAGUCGUGGGGGAUAACGCAGCGAAAGCUGCGCUAAUACCGCAUACGAUCUAGGGAUGAAAGCGGGGGACCGUAAGGCCUCGCGCGAUUGGAGCGGCCGAUGUCAGAUUAGGUAGUUGGUGGGGUAAAGGCUCACCAAGCCAACGAUCUGUAGCUGGUCUGAGAGGACGACCAGCCACACUGGGACUGAGACACGGCCCAGACUCCUACGGGAGGCAGCAGUGGGGAAUUUUGGACAAUGGGCGCAAGCCUGAUCCAGCAAUGCCGCGUGCAGGAAGAAGGCCUUCGGGUUGUAAACUGCUUUUGUACGGAACGAAACGGCUCUCACUAAUACUGGGGGCUAAUGACGGUACCGUAAGAAUAAGCACCGGCUAACUACGUGCCAGCCGCCGCCGUAAUAC